GACGAACGCUGGCGGCGUGCCUAACACAUGCAAGUCGAGCGAACAGAUCAGGAUUUUGCUCCUCUGACGUUAGCGGCGGAGGGGAGAGUAACAUGUGGACAACCUACCUAAAAGACAGGUAUAAUUAUGGGAAACCGGAGCUUAUACGGGAUAAUAUAUUGAACCGCAUGGUGCAAUAGUGAAAUUCGGUUUUUGGGUAGCUAAUAGCUGGCUCCGCGCCGCAUUAGUUAGUUGGUAAGGAAACUGCUUACCAAGGCGACGAUGCGUAGCCGACCUGACAGCGUGAAUGACCACACGGGCUGUGAGACACGCUCCAGACACCUACGGGAGGCAGCAGUAGAGAAUCGUCCGCAAUGGGGGAGAGCCUGACAGAGCGACGCGGCGUAAGUGCUGAAGGUGUUCUGAUCGGAAAACUCUGUUAUUCGGGGGAAACUAAUGUGUUAGUAACUGUGCAGGUAAUGACGGUACCUGGUCAAGAAGCCACGGCUAACUACGUG
rnacentral:rRNA from 1 species